UUCACUUCUAACUCCAUCAAGCAAAAGAAAAAUCAGUUGUGAUUCCAAGAAGAGGUGAACUCUUGUCUUUGGACUUCUCCUGUGACAUGAGGACAGACUCAAAAGACACAAAAUCACAAAGUCAGAUACUGAAAAACUUCAGUGAAAAUGAACAUCUUUGAUAUCUCAUAAACACAUGAUACGAAUGAAUGAAGCAAGGCAAUUACUGAAGUGCUUCCUGAAUAUGUUGAUGCCUUUUGAGGAUACUUGACCAAUGAGAUGGUUGAAAGUGUUUGCUACAGUUACUGCUUGUGAAAGACAACUAGAAAUAGAAUUUGCCAUGAAAUUUAAAACUUCACAAACCUCACGGUGCUUCUUUUGAAGAAAAAUGUAGAGUUGGUAGUCGGUAUGAAAUUCUGAUGUGAACUCUUCCUUAGAACUUUACAGGAUAAGAGGAAAUGUGUGAAAUGGAGAUUGAACAAUCUUGUCUUGAAGCAGAAGACUCAAAUGGAAGCUCCUGGCAUUCCUCAA
rnacentral:lncRNA from 1 species